UGAACCACCUGUGGCAGGCACAGAGAACCGUCCUGAGAGCAGUACCGUUAUAAAGGGAGUGUAGUCCUCCUAGUCGUUUCUAAUACAUUGGUUGUAGAAUAAAAGUGCGUUGAGAUGGUGUUUAGUUAUCGUCAUUUUGUGCUUCUACUGGGCAUUGCUGCUAAAGGAAUAACAGCGGGAUCCAGCAGUACCCAAGGGUCCUCUCUGAACACGAGCCCCACCGAUGGCUCCGAUACAACGAUCGCUCUGCCCACCUCACCGCCCGGAACCUCAGGCACAACGAGCACAGCUCCGGGCCCUCUCACCAUCUCCAUGGUGACGUCCACAACCACACCUACCACACCGUCAAAUACAACGGAACCAAGCCCUGGGAAUACAACAUCUUCAGUGAGCCCCAACAGCAACAGCACCGCUGGUCCAAAUGAGGGUUCCUCCACCCUUGCUCCUUCAACAACACCAACCAUGUUUAAUACAACGGAAAACACCACUGGCCCAAUGUCUCCUUCGCCGCCCGCGAACAGUAACUCAACGACCAGCCCUGUCACAUCCCCCACCAUCCCAGGUAACACCACCCUAGACCCCACUGGGAACAACUCCACCUCUGGUCCGACAACCAUCCUGGCCACAACCGAUAUGACACAAAACAACACAGACAUUACUGGGCCCUCUACUUCUCCACCCGAAUAUUCAAACGCCACGACCAGCCCUCUUCCAACCGCUACCAGUCCAGGUAACACCACCCUAGAUCCUGCUGGGAAUACCUCCACCUCUCUUCCUACAACCAUCCCGGCUACAACCAAUACGACAGAAAACAUCACAGACAUAACUGGGCCCUCUACUUCUCCGCCCGAGAACAUUACCUCCAACACCAGCCCUUUUCCAACCAUCCCAAACCAAGGUAACACCACCCUAGGUAACACCACCCUAGGCCCCGAUGGGAACACCUCCACAACCAGCCCUCUCCCAACAUCCACCCCAGAUAACACCACCCUAGGCCCCGAUGGGAAUACUUCCACAACCAGCCCUCUCCCAACAUCCACUCCAGAUAACACCACCCUAGGUAACACCACCCUAGGACCCGAUGGGAACACCUCCACAGCCAACCCUCUCCCGACAUCCACUCCAGGUAACACCACCCUAGGCCCAGCUGGGAACACCUCCACCCCUGGUCCUUCAACCCCACAGACCACGUCAGAAAGGAACAACGGAACCACAGCAGGUCUUCCCACCACUACCAGACCACCAGUAAUAGGCGAGUAACUUUAUUGAUGCCUUAUUGUAAUUGUUCCUAUAAUGAGGCUGAUUUUGGUGAUUGGUGGAGAAUUUUUUGCAUGGACUCAUUAGGCAUGACCGGAGACUUUCAAACGGUUAGCUAGACCUAUUGCUGAAGCUAGCAAGCUGGUCAUGUGUUUUUUUGGGGGGGAGGCUUUUUAGGGGUGGACAUUUUUCGGUUGAAUACUUUCAAAGUCUAGCUUAUUCUUGAUGGUUUCUCCAUCUCGCCUCCUGUAGCUUUAAGUGUGCUGAGUUCCUUCUCUUACUGUCAUUAGGGUGUCCUGCCGUCUCGUGCCCUCCUGACAGUGUUUGCCUGCAAGGGAUCUGUCAGUGCUUUGCCGGGCGCUUCAUGGUGAAUGGCACCUGCGAAACGGCUCAAGUUUUCCCUGGAGAGCUUCAUAUCGUCAAUUUGGAGUUUAUGGACGAAAUGGCCAACAGUUCCUCGCAGAUAUUCCUGACCACCGCAGCCAAUAUUUCCAGUGCGCUCAGAGGAUUCUUGUGGAACACGCCUGGAUAUAUUAGGACCGACGUUGUAGCUCUGGCGCGCGGCAGUGUGCUAGCAACAGUCAAUAACGUGUUCCAGAAUUCCAGCGCCACUCAAGAAUCCGUUAACGCUGCAAUCGACGACGGCAUCGAGAACUCCCCCCCAAAUGGAGUGUUCAUCAAUACCACAUUUACAGCAACUGACCUGUGUGCAAGGCUGCCUCCUGCCUGUGAUUCUUUGUCGACUAACUGCACGAGCCACAACGGGGUUGUAAAGUGUAUCUGUAAAGAAGGCUUCAUCCCAAACAACAUCUCUCUCAGGAACUGCAGCAGGAACAACACUUCAGAACCUGCUGGGAACACAUCCACACCGAGCCCUCCUAUGACAAGCCCAACCCCAGGCAACAGCACCCUAGACCCCGCCGGGAAUACCUCCACCUCCGGUCCGACAACCACCCCGGCCACAACCAAUACGACAGAAAACAGCACGGACGUUACUGGGCCCUCUACUUCUCCGCCCGAAAUUUCAAACGCCACAACCGGCCCUCUUCCAACGUCUACCAGCCCAGGUAACACCACCCUAGGUAACACCACCCUAGGACCCGAGGGGAACACCUCCACCACCAGCCCUGUCCCAACAUCCACCCCAGGAAACACCACCCUAGGUAACACCACCCUAGGCCCUGAUGGGAACACCUCCACCACCAGCCCUGUCCCAACAUCCAGCCCAGGAAACACCACCCUAGGUAACACCACCCUAGGACCCGAUGGGAAUACCUCCACCACCAGCCCUGUCCCAACAUCCAGCCCAGGAAACACCACCCUAGGACCCGAUGGGAAUACCUCCACCACCAACCCUCUCCCAACAUCCACCCCAGGAAACACCACCCUAGGUAACACCACCCUAGGACCCGAUGGGAACACCUCCACAACCAACCCUCUCCCAACAUCUAGCCCAGGAAACACCACCCUAGGUAACACCACCCUAAGACCCGAGGGGAACACCUCCACCACCAACCCUCUCCCAACAUCCAGCCCAGGAAACACCACCCUAGGUAACACCACCCUAGGACCCGAUGGGAAUACCUCCACCACCAACCCUCUCCCAACAUCCACCCCAGGAAACACCACCCUAGGACCCGAUGGGAAUACCUCCACAACCAACCCUCUCCCAACAUCCACCCCGGGAAACACCACCCUAGGUAACACCACCCUAGGCCCCGAUGGGAACACCUCCACCACCAGCCCUGUCCCAACAUCCACCCCAGGAAACACCACCCUAGGUAACACCACCCUAGGACCCGAGGGGAACACCUCCACCACCAACCCUCUCCCAACAUCCAGCCCAGGAAACACCACCCUAGGUAACACCACCCUAGGACCCGAGGGGAACACCUCCACCACCAGCCCUCUCCCAACAUCCAGCCCAGGAAACACCACCCUAGGUAACACCACCCUAGGCCCCGAUGGGAACACCUCCACCACCAACCCUCUCCCAACAUCCACCCUAGGUAACACCACCCUAGGCCCUGAUGGGAACACCUCCACAACCAACCCUCUCCCAACAUCUAGCCCAGGAAACACCACCCUAGGUAACACCACCCUAGGCCCCGAUGGGAACACCUCCACCACCAACCCUCUCCCAACAUCCACCCUAGGUAACACCACCCUAGGCCCUGAUGGGAACACCUCCACAACCAACCCUCUCCCAACAUCCAGCCCAGGAAACACCACCCUAGGUAACACCACCCUAGGACCCGAUGGGAACACCUCCACCACCAGCCCUCUCCCAACAUCCACCCCAGGAAACACCACCCUAGGAAACACCACCCUCGGUCCAGUUGGGAUCACCUCCACAACAAGCCCUCCAACACCAUCCUCAGGUAGCACCACCCAAGGCCCAGCUGGGAACACUUCCACCCCUGGUCCUUCAACACCACCCUCAGGUAACACCACCCAAGGCCCAGCUGGGAACAACUCCACCCCUGGUCCUUCAACACCACCCUCAGGUAGCACCACCCAAGGCCCAGCUGGGAACAACUCCACCCCUGGUUCUUCAACACCACCCUCAGGUAGCACCACCCAAGGCCCAGCUGGGAACACCUCCACCUCUGGUUCUUCAACACCACCCUCAGGUAGCACCACCCAAGGCCCAGCUGGGAACAACUCCACCCCUGGUUCUUCAACACCACCCUCAGGUAGCACCACCCAAGGCCCAGCUGGGAACACCUCCACCCCUGGUUCUUCAACACCACAGACUACGACAGCAAAGAACAACGGAACCACAGCAGGUCUUCCUACCACCACCACCACCACCACCAAAUCACAUCAUGCAGCAAUAACACAUCAUUUACUUAAAGUUAUUGAAAAUGUUACUAUAAUGAAGAUGAUUUUGGUGAUAGGUGGGAGGAAUGAGAAGAGGAUAUUUAGGUCCAACUACAUAGCUCUCUUUACAAGAAAACAAAUAAACAACAAACAAGGUCUCAUCGCCCAAGCUAAACUAAACGUCCGGCAAUAGCUUAAUCAUUCAGGUGUUGUUAUGAAAUGAAUAACCUUCACAACUAAGAAAUCCAUACAUAUUUACCUAACUGCUUAUUGCUGCUACUUUAGCCGCGAUAUAAAAUACCUUAAAAAUGGUGGAUUAUUAAAUGGAGCGGAGGGAGCCGGCUUCUCCAUCUUGCCUCCUCUAGCUUUAAGUGUGUGAGUACCUUCUCUUUCUGUCGUCAGUGUGCCCUGCCGUCUCGUGCCCUCCUGACAGUGUUUGUCUGGACGGGAUCUGUCAGUGCUUUGCUGGGAGCUACAUGGUGGAUGGCACCUGCAAAACGGCUCAAGUUUUCCCUGGAGAGCUUCAUAUCGUCAAUUUGCAGUUUGAGGACGACAUGGCCAACAGUUCCUCCAGGAUAUUCCUGACCACUGCAG